rnacentral:rRNA from 1 species
GUUGGCGGCGGGAGAGUAACGAGUAGAUACGUACCCAGGGGUUCGGGAUAGCCACGCGAAAGCGUGAGUAAUACCGAAUAAUGUCUCCGGACCAAAUAUUUAUAGCCCUCGGAGCGGUCUGCUUACUAUUAGCUUGUUGGUGGGGUAAAAGCCUACCAAGGCGAAGAUGGUUAGCGGGUGUGAGAGCAUGGCCCGUCUCACUGGGACUGAGACACUGCCCAGACAUCUACGGAUGGCUGCAGUCGAGAAUCUUUCCGCAAUGGACGAAAGUCUGACGGAGCGACGCCCGCGUGAUGGACGAAGGCCCCUCGGGUUUGUAAACAUCUGUCGUAGGGGAGGAAAUUUUUGACCCGAUCCCUAGGAGGAAAGCACAGGCUAAAGUUUCGUGCCAGCAGCCCGCGGGUAAUACGAAACUGUGCAAACGUUAUUUCGGGAAUCACUGGGGCUUAAAGGGGUGCGUAGGCGGGUUUAGUAGGGUCAGAUGUGGAAUGCCCCACGGCUCAACCCGUGGAAAUUGCGUUUGAAACCCACUAGUCUUGAAGGGGAUCAGAGGAGAGCGGAACUGAUGGUGGGAGCGGUGAAAUGCGUUGAUUUUUAUCAAGAACACCGGUGGGCGAAAGCGGCUCCUCUGGGAUCUUUUCUGACCGCUGAGGCACGAAAGCUAGGGAGCGAACGGGAUUAGAUACCCCCGGUAGUCCUAGCUGUA